rnacentral:rRNA from 1 species
UACGUAGGGGGCAAGCGUUGUCCGGAUUUAUUGGGCGUAAAGAGCGUGUAGGCGGUCAGGUAGGUCCGUUGUGAAAGCUCGAGGCUCAACCUCGAGACGCCGAUGGAAACCAUCUGACUAGAGUCCGGAAGAGGAGAGUGGAAUUCCUGGUGUAGCGGUGAAAUGCGCAGAUAUCAGGAAGAACACCCGUGGCUAAGGCGGCUCUCUAGUACGGUACUGACGCUGAGACGCGAAAGCGUGGGGAGCGAACAGG